CCCUUAGACACUCUAGGCGGCACGCGCGCUACAAUGGGCGGAAGAACGUGUUACUGCCUCCGAAAGGAGGGGUGAAUCACGAAUUCCUGCCCGUGAAUGGGAUAGUUUGUUGCAAUUUUCGGACUUGAACUAGGAAUCCCUUGUAAACAUGCUCAAGAAUAGCGUGUUGAAUACGUCCCUGCCGUUUGUACACACCGCCCGUCGUUUCUUCCGACUGAUACUCAUUGUGAGUUGCAAGGACCCUUUAUUGGGAAAUUGCUGCAAAUGCUUUGUAUUGGAGGAAGAAAAAGUCGUAACA
rnacentral:rRNA from 1 species